rnacentral:ncRNA from 2 species
AUGUUAUCAAGAAAGGCCGAGGGAUUAGACCCUAUGACGCCUUAGCAACCCUUUCACCAGAAAGAAGGUGCUACAUUCUACAACAAUUUUGAAAUUUUCAAAAUUGACGAUAGAUAACGA